CGGGGCGAGAACAGCGCUGGCGUGGGGGGGGCGCACGCUGGUCGUGCGACUCGUGCUUGGGUCGCGCGCUGUCGCGACGUUGCACGCCGCUUGUGUUUGUCACCCACUCGGGGUGAUGCCACCUUGCUGCUUGUGCAUUCCGGGCGCUGCUUGUGCAUACCGGGCACUGCUCACGCAUACUGGGCGCUGCUUGUGCGUGCUGCACGCCGGUUGUGCACCUCACGCUCCUCUGCGUGGCGCCGGUUUUGCGUCUCACCCGCCGCUUGUGCAUGCCGCCCGUGUCACCCGCUGCCAACGUGUGUCACCCGCCGCUUGCACGCCGUUCCCGGCUCUGCAGGGCUGUGUCACCGGCACCGCGGCUGCCCCCGGAGCCGGGUUACUUCUGGUGGUGGAUUUCGGCCCCCGGCGUUGCCUUGUUCCCGGGUUUGGUGGCGUGGCCGUUGCUUGGUGCCCAGAGGGGGGUUAAUUACCCUCCAAAAGGUGAUUAAAACUGCUGGGUUACAGCUCGGGGGCUCAGCCGCGAUCCUUGGCCUUCCACCAUCGCCGCGCCUCGGGGGGACGCGGGCCAAGCCCGGCCCUUGGAGGCCGAACCGUGCCCAAAGCCCGGCCUCGGCUCCCCCCCGAACAAGCGCGGCCCUGGCGCCUCCGGUGGCGCCUCCGCUCGCUCCGCCGGGGCGGAUCCAAAGUGCGCAUACUGAUUGGUCGGCUGCGGAGCGCGCCCUCCAGCUCAGCCAAUCCCCGCACGCCGUUCGCAUCCACCCAUCUCCCGCCCCCGUGGAGCCGCCCCAGGGCAGCCGCGGCGGGGCCGGGCCAAUCAGCGCAGACCGCGGGAAAUUCAAAGCCAUCCCCCGCCCUCGCCCCGCGCGCAGCCAAUGGGAAGCGCUGCACCCUGCGGGCAGCCAAUCACGGUCGCAGCGAGGUUAUAAAGGGCGGAGGUUGUGCGGAGGGGCGUGCAGAAGGCGGCGGCGCCGCGAGGCAAUCUGCGGGCUCACGGCGGCCCGAAGCGGCCGUUUAUGGAAUCGUAGAAUCAUAGCUACCUCCCUUCCUCCGUCCCUGUAA
rnacentral:lncRNA from 1 species